AUUGAACGCUGGCGGCAUGCCUUACACAUGCAAGUCGAACGGUAACAGGUUAAGCUGACGAGUGGCGAACGGGUGAGUAAUGUAUCGGAACGUGCCCAGUCGUGGGGGAUAACUGCUCGAAAGAGCAGCUAAUACCGCAUACGACCUGAGGGUGAAAGCGGGGGAUCGCAAGACCUCGCGCGAUUGGAGCGGCCGAUAUCAGAUUAGGUAGUUGGUGGGGUAAAGGCCUACCAAGCCUACGAUCUGUAGCUGGUCUGAGUGGACGACCAGCCCCACUGGGACUGGGACACGGCCCAGACUCCUACGGGAGGCAGCAGUGGGGAAUUUUGGACAAUGGACGCAAGUCUGAUCCAGCCAUGCCGCAUGCGGGAAGAAGGCCUUCGGGUUGUAAACCGCUUUUGUCAGGGAAGAAAAGGUUCUGGUUAAUACCUGGGACUCAUGACGGUACCUGAAGAAUAAGCACCGGCUAACUACGUGCCAGCAGCCGCUGUAAAAC
rnacentral:rRNA from 1 species